GACGAACGCUGGCGGCGUGCUUAACACAUGCAAGUCGAACGGAAAGGCCCUGCUUGCAGGGUACUCGAGUGGCGAACGGGUGAGUAACACGUGGGUGAUCUGCUCUUCACUUCGGGAUAAGCCUGGGAAACUGGGUCUAAUACCGGAUAGUAGCCAGGUUUAGUGUGAUGGUUGUAAAGUUUUUUUCGGUGUAGGUUGAGCUCGCGGCCUAUCAGCUUGUUGGUGGGGUAAUGGCCUACCAAGGCGGCGACGGGUAGCCGGCCUGAGAGGGUGGACGGCCACAUUGGGACUGAGAUACGGCCCAGACUCCUACGGGAGGCAGCAGUGGGGAAUAUUGCACAAUGGGCGCAAGCCUGAUGCAGCGACGCCGCGUGGGGGAUGACGGCCUUCGGGUUGUAAACUCCUUUCGCUAGGGACGAAGCUUUUUGUGACGGUACCUAGAUAAGAAGCACCGGCUAACUACGUG
rnacentral:rRNA from 1 species